rnacentral:rRNA from 1 species
CCAAUAGCGUAUAUUAAAGUUGUUGCAGUUAAAAAGCUCGUAGUUGAACUUCGGGAUUCACCCAUUGGUCAGGCUUAAUUGUCUGUACUGGUGAGAUGAGUCUCUACCUUCUGAGGAACUUUCAUGCCAUUUGUUUGGUGUGAUUGGAAAUCAGGACUGUUACUUUGAAAAAAUUAGAGUGUUUAAAGCAGGCUAACGUCUGAAUACAUUAGCAUGGAAUAAUGAAAUAGGACGGAUUGAUUCUAUUUCGUUGGUUUCUAGGGUCACCGUAAUGAUUAAUAGGGAUAGUUGGGGGCAUUAGUAUUCAAUUGUCAGAGGUGAAAUUCUUGGAUUUAUUGAAGACUAACUACUGCGAAAGCAUUUGCCAAGGAUGUUUUCAUUAAUCAAGAACGAAAGUUAGGGGAUCGAAGACGAUCAGAUACCGUCGUAGUCUUAACCAUAAACUAUGCCGACUAGGGAUCGGAUGAUGUUAAUUUUUUAAUGACUCAUUCGGCGCCUUACG